UCUGGGAUAAGCCUGGGAAACUGGGUCUAAUACCGGAUAGGAGCGCCGACCGCAUGGUGGGUGUUGGAAAGAUUUAUCGGUUUUGGAUGGACUCGCGGCCUAUCAGCUUGUUGGUGAGGUAAUGGCUCACCAAGGCGACGACGGGUAGCCGGCCUGAGAGGGUGACCGGCCACACUGGGACUGAGACACGGCCCAGACUCCUACGGGAGGCAGCAGUGGGGAAUAUUGCACAAUGGGCGCAAGCCUGAUGCAGCGACGCCGCGUGAGGGAUGACGGCCUUCGGGUUGUAAACCUCUUUCAGUAGGGAAGAAGCGAAAGUGACGGUACCUGCAGAAGAAGCACCGGCUAACUACGUGCCAGCAGCCGCGGUAAUACGUAGGGUGCGAGCGUUAUCCGGAAUUAUUGGGCGUAAAGAGCUCGUAGGCGGUUUGUCGCGUCUGUCGUGAAAGUCCGGGGCUUAACCCCGGAUCUGCGGUGGGUACGGGCAGACUAGAGUGCAGUAGGGGAGACUGGAAUUCCUGGUGUAGCGGUGGAAUGCGCAGAUAUCAGGAGGAACACCGAUGGCGAAGGCAGGUCUCUGGGCUGUAACUGACGCUGAGGAGCGAAAGCAUGGGGAGCGAACAGGAUUAGAUACCCUGGUAGUCCAUGCCGUAAACGUUGGGCACUAGGUGUGGGGACCAUUCCACGGUUUCCGCGCCGCAGCUAACGCAUUAAGUGCCCCCGCCUGGG
rnacentral:rRNA from 1 species